rnacentral:rRNA from 1 species
UACGUAGGGUGCGAGCGUUAAUCGGAAUUACUGGGCGUAAAGCGUGCGCAGGCGGUUUGUUAAGACAGAUGUGAAAUCCCCGGGCUUAACCUGGGAACUGCAUUUGUGACUGGCAAGCUAGAGUAUGGCAGAGGGGGGGUAGAAUUCCACGUGUAGCAGUGAAAUGCGUAGAGAUGUGGAGGAAUACCGAUGGCGAAGGCAGCCCCCCUGGGGCCAAUACUGACGCUCAUGCACGAAAGCGUGGGAAGCAAACAGG